CCUACGGGAGGCAGCAGUGGGGGAUAUUGCACAAUGGACGAAAGCCUGAUGCAGCGAAGCAGCGUGAGGGAAGACGGUCCUCGGAUUGGAAACCUCUGUCUAUGGGGGAGAAAACAGACGGUAGCCAAAGAGGAAGCACCGGCUAAAUACGUGCCAGCAGCCGCGGUAAUAGGUAGGGAGCGAGGGUUUACGGGAUUUACUGGGUGUAAAGGGAGCGUAGGCGGGCUUGUAAGUUGAAGGUCUAGUGUACCGGCUCAACCGGUGAUCGCGUUCGAAACUGCAGGUCUUGAGUGCAGUAGAGGCAGGCGGAAUUCCUAGUGUAGCGGUGAAAUGCGUAGAUAUUAGGAGGAACACCAGUGGCGAAGGCAG
rnacentral:rRNA from 1 species